rnacentral:rRNA from 1 species
UACGUAGGGUGCAAGCGUUAAUCGGAAUUACUGGGCGUAAAGCGUGCGCAGGCGGUUCUAUAAGACAGAUGUGAAAUCCCCGGGCUCAACCUGGGAACUGCAUUUGUGACUGUAGAGCUGGAGUGCGGCAGAGGGGGAUGGAAUUCCGCGUGUAGCAGUGAAAUGCGUAGAUAUGCGGAGGAACACCGAUGGCGAAGGCAAUCCCCUGGGCCUGCACUGACGCUCAUGCACGAAAGCUAGGGGAGCAAACGGG